AGUGAACGCUGGCGGUAGGCCUAACACAUGCAAGUCGAACGGCAGCACAGUAAGAGCUUGCUCUUACGGGUGGCGAGUGGCGGACGGGUGAGGAAUACAUCGGAAUCUACUUUUUCGUGGGGGAUAACGUAGGGAAACUUACGCUAAUACCGCAUACGACCUACGGGUGAAAGCAGGGGAUCUUCGGACCUUGCGCGAUUGAAUGAGCCGAUGUCGGAUUAGCUAGUUGGCGGGGUAAAGGCCCACCAAGGCGACGAUCCGUAGCUGGUCUGAGAGGAUGAUCAGCCACACUGGAACUGAGACACGGUCCAGACUCCGACGGGAGGAAGCAGUGGGGAAUAUUGGACAAUGGGCGCAAGCCUGAUCCAGCCAUACCGCGUGGGUGAAGAAGGCCUUCGGGUUGUAAAGCCCUUUUGUUGGGAAAGAAAAGCAGCAGGUUAAUACCCCGCUGUUCUGACGGUACCCAAAGAAUAAGCACCGGCUAACUUCGUG
rnacentral:rRNA from 1 species